rnacentral:tRNA from 1 species
GACUCCGUAGCUCAGUUGGUAGAGCAAUUGACUCUUAAUCAAUGGGGCGAGAGUUCGAGCCUCUCCGGGGUCA